CCUAAGGGUGGCAGCAGUGGGGAAUAUUGGACAAUGGGCGAAAGCCUGAUCCAGCCAUGCCGCGUGUGUGAAGAAGGCCUUCGGGUUGUAAAGCACUUUCAGUGGGGAAGAAAGCCUUGGGGCUAAUACCCUCGAGGAAGGACAUCACCCACAGAAGAAGCACCGGCUAACUCCGUGCCAGCAGCCGCGGUAAUACGGAGGGUGCGAGCGUUAAUCGGAAUUACUGGGCGUAAAGCGCGCGUAGGCGGUCUGAUAAGCCGGUUGUGAAAGCCCCGGGCUCAACCUGGGAACGGCAUCCGGAACUGUCAGGCUAGAGUGCAGGAGAGGAAGGUAGAAUUCCCGGUGUAGCGGUGAAAUGCGUAGAGAUCGGGAGGAAUACCAGUGGCGAAGGCGGCCUUCUGGACUGACACUGACGCUGAGGUGCGAAAGCGUGGGUAGCAAACAGGAUUAGAUACCCUAGUAGUC
rnacentral:rRNA from 1 species